AACGAACGCUGGCGGCAUGCCUAACACAUGCAAGUCGAACGAGACCUUCGGGUCAAGGGGCGCACGGGUGCGUAACGCGUGGGAAUCUACUCUUGGGUUCGGAAUAACAGUUAGAAAUGACUGCUAAUACCGGGUGAUGUCGUAAGUCCAAAGAUUUAUCGCCGAAGGAUGAGCCCGCGUAAGAUUAGCUUGUUGGUGGGGUAAUGGCCUACCAAGGCGACGAUCUUUAGCUGGUCUGAGAGGAUGAGCAGCCACACGGGGACUGGGACACGGGCCAGGCUCGUAAGGGAGGCAGCAGUGGGGAAUAUUGGACGAUGGGCGGAAGCCUGAUCCAGCAAUGCAGCGUGAGUUAUGAAGGCCUUAGGGUUGUAAAGCUCUUUUACCAAGGAUGGUAAUGACAGUACCUGGAGAAUAAGCUCCGGCUAACUCCGUGCCAGCCGCCGCCGUAA
rnacentral:rRNA from 1 species